CUCACGUGGCCUAUGUCAUUCAAAAUUCAGAAGUCAUCAAAGGCAGGUAGCAAAGCAAGUCCUCUUUUGUAACCCAGAACUCACGGCUCAGGAUGAGUUUCUGAUACAGACAAAAAGGACCAUG